AAAUAAUUAAAAAAAAUUAAAAAACUAAACUUAAGACAAAACCUAAGAGUCAGACACUGUAAAUUUCUCCUAGAGCUCUUUUCUUCCCUUUCAUCGAACCCUUGUUCUUCCUUCUCAUCGAGUUAUUGUUCUCCAACCUUUCUUCUCUAGCCUUCCCGUCAUCAAGCCUUUCUUUUCGUCGAGCCAUUUUCUUCGAGUCUUUCCUCGCCCUGUUUGGAACCUUCAUCUUCAUUCUCUGAACCAUCAUCUUUGUGUCUUGAACCCUAGGAGUCCCUGCCUCCAAUCAUGGCCCCCUGUCCCUGUGUGGUACCCGUGUUCUCCGUCAACGAACCCUCGAUUUCUCACAGUGGAGCCCUAGGACUCUUAUUCUCGUACUCUGAGGUCAAUGCCACCUUCUUUCGGUCUCGGUGAGUUUGUGUGUUCCUUGUUGUAGAUUUGGUCAGAAGAAGAAGUUUGGUUAUCUAACCUCCACCGUACACCUUUCCCGUGUUGGCUUUCCCUUGAAACCCUACACUAAAAUUGAAAAAUCGAAAAACUCUAACGUGUUUGAAUGAGGGAUUGAAUGAGAAAUGGCGUCGAAGUUGAAAACGUGUUUUGUAUGGUGGAACCUGAGUGGCUUCAACUAUGUUAACCACUCUAAGGGAAAUGGUAGGAUAGUGCAAGUUUCAUUUCCAGGUUCUUGCAAAAUGCGACACCGAACCACUUUCAGUUUGCAGAAUAACAGGUAACGGAUCAAGCCUUCCAUUGAGGAAGUUCUCUGUCAAAAUCAAGAUGAGAAAGAAGAUUUAGAGGUUUCAUUCAAUAACUAAGAAACUCCAAGAACUUGUUAUCCAAACGAAAGAAUUGAAGCUUGAUUGAGGGAAUUUGAAUAAGUUUGCUAAGAAGGGAGACUUAAUGUAUUUGAAUAUCAAUCACGAUAAACAUAUAUGGCCUACAAAGAACAGAGUGAACAUGAGGUUAUUUUUGCAUUUCUUGGUCUUUUAUCUUCUGCAACAAGGUAUUCACUUUUAAUUGUAAAUUACAAUUUGAAUAUCUUUUACUGGUUGAUGCAUCUUUUAAUUUUUUAUCUAUAGUCCAGAUUACAUGUGAUUCAUAUUGUAGCAGAGAUGGCACCAGUACCUAAGGUGCACUCGUGUACCCUAAUCCCUGUGUUUUAUUCUUGUGAGUUGAUUUUAUGUUGUCCCUAGAUUUUAAUUAUUACACCUACUGGAAUCUUAAGGAGGCAUGGCAGAAGCAUCUUGAUUUUCUUUAAAGAAAGGGAGUACUGGGUGGGUCUGAGUUCUAUAUAGAAAUAAAUUCUCAAACCUCCUUAAAAUGUUGUCUCUUUAACUUUUUAUUUUGUUUCCUCUUUUGUCAAUUGUUGAAAUCUUUUUUCAAAAUUUAGUGUUUGGUUAAGAAUUUUUUGUAAUCUUGUAUUUUUCAUGCUUAUUUGUUGCAAUUGCUAGAUCCUUGUUCUUUGACAAUGGUCUUCAUUUACCAUUGUUUCUGAACUUGUUGAGUUCUGUUUCCUGAUUAGAUGGAAGUGUAUUUGGUCUUGAUAGAAAUCAAGAACCAUCGCUAAAAUGAGAAUCUAAGAGAAAAUAGAAGAAAAGUUAGUGAGAUAUCUCACUUAGACUUUUAACAUAAGUUUCUAAGUACAUGUCAACUGGCUGACAGUUGAGCAAACUAUACUCCAUCUUAAUUACUAUUGUCAAAGCAAUUCAGCAUGUAUGAUAGAUACUAUCCUAUUGAACAAAAUAUUGCUUUUACAAGUUUGUACUUCUAUAGAUUAUCUAGUAUGAAAUCAACUAAAAAUAAUGUCAUCAUCUAUGCGGAAGUUCAGGUGAAUUAAGCAUACAAUGGCCCUGUUCUUAAGUCUGUCUAGCAUCUAGUGAUGUUUAAAUUAAUUUAUUUCAUGAACAGGUUGGUGGGAUGUUGUCAGUGGUCUAGGUAAAGCACUGCAAAAGAAAGGACACCUUGUUGAAAUUGUGCUUCUCAAAUAUGAUUGUAUGCAAUAUGAUUAUGUCUGCAACUUAAGGGUAUGCCAUUUCAUUAAGAAAAUAAUUGAACGUGUCGAUACUGUCAUGGUAGGUUGUAUCAUGCACUACUUGAAAUAAUUUUAUUAUUCAUUCAGGCUUUGACCGUGCCUAUAGAAUCAUACUUUGAUCACCAAUUAUACAAAAAUAAAAUCUGGGUUGGCAGCAUUUCAAGUAUUCAUUCUAUUAGAUAUUUCGUUUUAAUUCAUUGUCUUUUAGUCACUAAUAGUAUUGCAUAUUUGUUUCUU